rnacentral:lncRNA from 1 species
GGGGGAGGGGAGGGGAUGGGGUCAGGAAGGUAGAAGAGGGGCGGGGUCAGGUGGGGCAGGUGGUGGCAGGGACCAGUGGGGCAGGUGGGGGACACAGACAGGUUGGGCAGGUGAGGACAGGGGCAGGUGGGGCAGGUGGGGACAGGGACAGGUGGGGCAGGUCGGGGAAAGGGGUAGGUGGGGCAGGUGGUGGCAGGGGCCAGUGGAGCAGGUGGGGGACACAGACAAGUGGGGCAGGUGGGGGACACAGACAAGUGGGGCAGGUGGAGCAGGUGGGGGACACAGGUGGGGCAUGUGGGGCAGGUAGGGGAAAGGGGUAGGUGGGGCAGGUGGUGGCAGGGACCAGAGGGGCAGGUGGGGGACACAGACAGGUUGGGCAGGUGGGGACAGGGGCAGGUGGGACAGGUGAGGACAGGGGCAGGUGGGGGACAGGAACAGGUGAGGACAUGAACAGGUGGGCAGGACAAGGAUAGGCAGGGACAGGGGCAGGUGGGGGCAGGGGUAGGUGGGGCAGGUGAGGACAGGGACAAGUGGGGCAGGUAGGGACAGGAACAGGUGGGGACAGGGGCAGGUGGGGCAGGUUGGGCACAGGGAUGGGUGGGGCAGGUGGGGCAGGUGGGGACAGGAUGGGGACAGGGGCAGAUGGGAAAGGUGGGGACAGGAGCAGGUGGG